rnacentral:rRNA from 1 species
GGAAAGAUGAAAAGAACUUUGAAAAGAGAGUUAAACAGUACGUGAAAUUGUUGAAAGGGAAACGAUUGAAGUCAGUCGUGCUGGCGCGAAAUCAACCCUCUCGUCUUGAGAUCACAUGGCGCGACGAGCCUCAAAACCGUCACGAAGCGUGAACUCUUGACGAAAAGGUGCACUUUCGUGUCCGCUGGUUAACAUCAAUUUCGAACGUCAUAAAAAGGCUGGAGGGAUGUGGCUCCUUCGGGAGUGUUAUAACCUUUAGCGGAAUGUGGUGUUCGGGAUUGAGGAUUGCAACGAAUACCUUCAGGGCUGUUCCACCUGGCUUCUCAUUGGUAUCCUGGUGACGACAGCUUGCUGACGUCGUUAGGAUCAGCUUCUGAACAGGCUAGAGUGUGAGCAAAUUCGUUAAGGAUGUUAACGUAAUGGCUUUAAACGACCGUCUUGAAACACGGACCA